rnacentral:tRNA from 1 species
GGGGGUGUGGCUCAGUGGUAGAGCUCAUGCUUAGCAUGUGCAUGAACCCCGCAUUCCAUUCCCA